UACGUAGGGCCCAAGCGUUGUUCGGGUUUACUGGGCGUAAAGGGCGCGUAGGCGGCCACCGCAAGUCAGUUGUGAAAUCUCUGGGCUUAACCCAGAAAGGUCAACUGAUACUGCGGGGCUAGAGUGCAGAAGGGGCAACUGGAAUUCUCGGUGUAGCGGUGAAAUGCGUAGAUAUCGAGAGGAACACCUGCGGCGAAGGCGGGUUGCUGGGCUGACACUGACGCUGAAGCGCGAAAGCUAGGGGAGCGAACGGG
rnacentral:rRNA from 1 species